GUGCCGGGUGCACCUCGCGAGCUAGCUGCCGCCCCGCCUGUGUCGCGGUCGUACCCUCCGCCCUCUGCGCCGAGAGCCGCUGCCGCCCGAGACCUUCGAGGGCUCCUCGCCCCUGCUUCCUGGGAGACCCUCUCCGCUGGGAGAGUCGCAGUCACGGAGCCGGGGGACACCUGUACGGGCAGGCGGCCGGCGAAGGCCCGGCCCGAGAGGAAGCGGGCCCCGAACGCCGCAACUGCCUGGGAAGCGGCUUUGCGUCCGGGCGUGGUGGAGCACAUCUGAGGGCCCAGCUACUCGGGAGCUGAGGCAGGAGGAUCCCUUAAGCCUGGGAAGUCAAGGCUGCAGUGAGCCGAGAUGGGUGCCACUUCACUCCAGCCUAGGCGACAGAGUGAGACUUGCAGAAGGAAAGAGAGAAAAGAAAUACAGUAACAGUUAAUAAAAUUCUUAACACACAUGUAAUAAUGUAUUUUACUCACACAUUAAAUAACAAGACUAAAGUUGC
rnacentral:lncRNA from 1 species